UCGGGAAGUUAUGGAGAGAAAGGAUACGGAUACUACAGGUGGACAUUCAGAUGGUAAUCUCAGUCAUUGUAACACCUAACUCUGAUUGAAUUAGUCAAUUCAUCAGGACCUGGAUAUUUGCAUUGUGUGAUAAUAAUUGAGACAGGGAUCUCGAAAGCAAUUUUCUAUC